AAAUAAGAAACAAUGAUUGUAUUUAGUUUCGACCUAACCCUUGGUGUUCACUCACCCUUAUUUA
rnacentral:tRNA from 1 species